GACGAACGCUGGCGGCGUGCUUAACACAUGCAAGUCGAACGGAAAGGCCCUGCGUUUGUUGGUUGCUCGAGUGCCGAGCGGGUGAGUAACACGUGAGUAACCUGCACCUGUCUUUGGGAUAUCUCUAGGAAACUCGGGCUAUUACCGGAUAGGAGCUCCUGCUGCACGGGGGGGGUUGGAAAGUUUCGGCGGUUGGGGCUAGUCUCGCGGCUUAUGCGCUGGUUGGUGUGGUAGUGGCGUUCCAAGGGUAUGAAGGGUAGCCGGCAUGGGAGGUUGACCGGCGACAUUGGUCCUGCGGUACGGCCCAGACUCGAACGGGAGGCAGCAGUGGGGAGUAUUGCACAGUGGGCGGAAGCCUGAUGCAGCAACGCCGCGUGCGGGAUGACGUCUUUUGGGUUGUGAACCGCUUUCGCAUGUGACGUAGCGUGCGUGACGGUAACGGGUCAAGAAGCAACGGCUAACUACGUG
rnacentral:rRNA from 1 species